rnacentral:rRNA from 1 species
GCUCAACGGAUAAAAGGUACUCCGGGGAUAACAGGCUGAUACCGCCCAAGAGUUCAUAUCGACGGCGGUGUUUGGCACCUCGAUGUCGGCUCAUCACAUCCUGGGGCUGAAGUAGGUCCCAAGGGUAUGGCUGUUCGCCAUUUAAAGUGGUACGCGAGCUGGGUUUAGAACGUCGUGAGACAGUUCGGUCCCUAUCUGCCGUGGGCGCUGGAGAACUGAGGGGGGCUGCUCCUAGUACGAGAGGACCGGAGUGGACGCAUCACUGGUGUUCGGGUUGUCAUGCCAAUGGCACUGCCCGGUAGCUAAAUGCGGAAGAGAUAAGUGCUGAAAGCAUCUAAGCACGAAACUUGCCCCGAGAUGAGUUCUCCCUGACUCCUUGAGAGUCCUGAAGGAACGUUGAAGACGACGACGUUGAUAGGCCGGGUGUGUAAGCGCAGCGAUGCGUUGAGCUAACCGGUACUAAUGAACCGUGAGGCUUAACCUUACAACGC